rnacentral:miRNA from 1 species
GAGCGAGGAAAAAUGGGAAGGGCGAGAAAGAAAUAGCUAUUUUCUUCUCGCCCCUUCCAUUUUUCCUCGCUCUCUUUCUCUCG